rnacentral:rRNA from 1 species
GCAAAACACCCCCAUUCUUCCGUUCCCCCCUUUGCUGCUCGCUCUCAUGGCCGCCGCCGCCGCCUUCCUUCCCCCCGCCCCAAUCUUUCGCCCUCGCACCACCACCGCUCGCCACCGUGCCUCACCCAUCUGCGCUGCCGCCUCCGACGUACCGCCGCCAGAUGCCGAGACGGACGAGGGAGAGGCCCCACGCAGCGGCCGGAAGGACCGGCGCCGCGUGGUGCGGAUCGCGUGGGAGAAGCUCGUCCGCUGGUCUCGCUCCUGGCGCAGCCGCAACCGCAGCGACGUCCUCGAGACCACGCGCAAGGUGGUGGUCCUCGGUGGGGGCUCGUUCGGAACGGCGAUGGCGGCGCAGGUGGCAGCCAAGAAGCCCGACCUUGAGGUGGCCAUGCUGCUCCGGGAUGACCUCGUCUGCCGCUCCAUCAACCACCGCCAUGUCAACUCCAAAUACUUGUCAGAAUACAGCUUGCCAGAAAACAUUGUUGCAACAACUAGUGCUAGCGAGGCGUUAGCAGGAGCUGAUUUCUGCUUCCACGCUGUCCCUGUUCAGUUCAUCCUUUCUUGGCAGUAUUUCAACUUAUGUUGAUCCAAAGUUGCCAUUCAUAUCGCUUAGCAAAGGGCUAGAACUUAACACCCUUCGGACAAUGUCUCAAAUCAUUCCUCUUGCAUUGGGAAAUCCUCGCCAGCCAUUUAUUGUUCUGUCAGGACCUUCUUUUGCCGUGGAACUGAUGGAGAAACUACCAACAGCUAUGGUGGUGGCAUCCAAAGACAAAAAGCUGGCAAGUGCUGUUCAGCAGCUCUUAGCGUCUUCAAAUUUGAGGAUAAGCACAUCAAGGGGUAGAAAUUGCAGGGGCACUUAAGAAUGUUCUUGCAAUAGCAGCAGGUAUAGUAGAAGGUAUGCAUCUUGGAAAUAAUUGUAUGGCUGCCCUUGUUGCUCAAGGCUGUUCUGAAAUUCGGUGGUUGGCGACAAAGAUGGGAGCAAAGCCAACAACCCUUUCUGGUUUAUCUGGCUCGGGUGAUAUCAUGCUUACAUGUUUUGUCAAUCUUUCACGGAACAGAAACGUGGGAUUGCGUCUUGGUUCAGGCGAGAAACUUGAUGAGAUCUUGGAUUCAAUGAAUCAGGUUGCUGAAGGCGUGUCAACUGCUGGCGCUGUCAUCGCAUUAGCUCAGAAGUACAACGUCAAACUGCCAGUCUUGACAGCGGUAGCACGGAUAAUUGAUAAUGAACUAACUCCGAAGAGGGCUGUUAUGGAGUUAAUGAAUCUUCCACAGGUCGAGGAAGUCUAAAAGGAACCAAUCCAAAAGGGGAGCCGGAUGGCUCCCCUGACGUACGAUGCCCUGACGUUGGGCCACUGACGUGUGGGCCCGGGUCCACAUGUCAGUGGGCCAAUGGCACGUCAGAGGAGCCGCCUCCUCCAAAAGAAUGGAGCCACUGAACCUGUUCUGUCAUACUUAAAAUAGCUGUAUGCUCCAUAUGUUUGUCUCCCAUCUCUGAUCAGCUAUAUUUUCUCGUCAAUCUAUCGAAUCAUGAUGAUUGCUUUCAGAGAUAUCACGGAUUUUGCACUCCUAUGAAGAGUUUAUGCUUUCAUGCACAUUCAUGUGCACAAAUGCAGACAGGAUAUACAUUAUAGGGACCCGAAAUUGAAUGGGAAUCCAUGUUUGGUUAUCCAAAACAAGAUCAUGGUUGUAGGUUUCAUCACUUUUAGAAUGAGUUGGUCAAGGAAUACAUGUUAGUUCUUAUUUUUCUUUUGUAUGAAAUGACCUGGUUCAUAUUCAUGGCAAGACUUGAUUUUAUAUUUUUGAUGAAAAAAUUACUCAUCCUCGUUAUAAGGAAAUAGAGUGUAUAUACUACCUAAAAAAGAUGAAAAUGUUUUAUCUUGUGUCAAUUUUCUUCUGCCUGUCUCUUCGUCUGUCCUCCCACAUGUUUAUUAUGCCUAUCUCUUUGUCUGUCUUCCCACAUAUGUUUCGUCGUGCCAACCCCUCCCCCCUCUCCCAUCCUAUUGUUGUUGGUACGUUUUGGUACAACCGACGUAGUG